AGUGAACGCUGGCGGCAGGCCUAAUACAUGCAAGUCGAACGGCAGCACAGUGGAGCUUGCUCCAUGGGUGGCGAGUGGCGGACGGGUGAGGAAUACAUGGGAAUCUGCCUAGUCGUGGGGGAUAACGUAGGGAAACUUACGCUAAUACCGCAUGCGCCCUUCGGGGGAAAGCCGGGGACCUUCGGGCCUGGCGCGAUUGGAUGAGCCCAUGUUCGAUUAGCUAGUUGGCGGGGUAAAGGCCCACCAAGGCGACGAUCGAUAGCUGGUCUGAGAGGAUGAUCAGCCACACUGGGACUGAGACACGGCCCAGACUCCUACGGGAGGCAGCAGUAGGGAAUAUUGGACAAUGGGCGCAAGCCUGAUCCAGCCAUGCCGCGUGAGUGAAGAAGGCCCUCGGGUUGUAAAGCUCUUUUGUCCGGGAAGAAAAGCAUCGGGCUAAUACCUCGGUGUUCUGACGGUACCGGAAGAAUAAGCACCGGCUAACUUCGUG
rnacentral:rRNA from 1 species